GAGUUUGAUCAUGGCUCAGAAUCAACGCUGGCGGCGUGCCUCAGACAUGCAAGUCGAACGCGAAAGGUUCCUUCGGGAACCGAGUAGAGUGGCGCACGGGUGAGUAACACGUAGGUAAUUUGCCUUUGGGUGGGGAAUAACUCAGGGAAACUUGAGCUAAUACCGCAUAAUGCAGCGGCUCGACAUCGAGACAGUUGUUAAAGCGGGGGAUCGCAAGACCUCGCGCCUAAAGAGAAGCCUGCGGCAGAUUAGCUAGUUGGUAGGGUAAUGGCCUACCAAGGCAACGAUCUGUAACCGGCCUGAGAGGGCGGUCGGUCACACUGACACUGACAUACGGGUCAGACUCCUACGGGAGGCAGCAGUCGGGAAUUUUGGGCAAUGGGCGAAAGCCUGACCCAGCAACGCCGCGUGAAGGAUGAAAUCCCUCGGGAUGUAAACUUCGCAAGAACAGGAAGAAUAAGUAGAAGCUAAUACCUUACUAUGAUGACGGUACUGUUUGUAAGCUACCGGCUAACUCCGU
rnacentral:rRNA from 1 species